UUUUCAUAUUAUAAACCCCUAUUCACAAAUGUCUGAAGUAAGCAUGCCAUUGCUGGUGGAGACACAUCCAACAGAUAACACAACUUGCAAAAAUCCAAUACGAGUUUUAAGAAGCCCACUACAUCCUACAUUGGAUUUAAAUGAAAGUUCUUUACAUGAAUCUGACUCUAGUUUUGCAAGCUUGCAGUUACUGUAAAAUGAAACAACUGGAGACCAGUCAGGCUGAAGCAAGUGGAAACGGCAGAUGGUAUCACUGUCUGUAUCAGCUAAAAAGUUGGGUCCAUGGGCCAAUGCGAAGAGAGAGUUAGCUGAACUGCAACUGGUGCUCCUCCAAAAGCAGCAUGACAAGUCCCAGAGGAGAGAAGAAGAGCUCUUUCAAUUAAAGAAAGAAAGCCUAGAGCUGAAAAUUAAGAUUAGAAAAGAAAACUAAAGAAAUUAUUGUCUCAAUAAAAACAAAUUCAUGUAAACAUUUUAUUUUCAAUUAAGUCAGAUAAAAUAAAUUUUCAUUUAAUU